rnacentral:rRNA from 1 species
UACGAGGGGUGCAAGCGUUGCUCGGAAUUAUUGGGCGUAAAGGGUAGGUAGGUGGUCUCAUUUGUCUGGGGUGAAAGCCUUGGGCUUAACCCAAGAAGUGCCCCAGAAACGGUGAGACUAGAGUCCUGGAGAGGGUCGUGGAAUUCCCGGUGUAGCGGUGAAAUGCGUAGAGAUCGGGAGGAACACCAGCGGCGAAGGCGGCGACCUGGACAGGCACUGACACUCAACUACGAAAGCGUGGGGAGCAAACAGG